UACGGAGGGUGCAAGCGUUAAUCGGAAUUACUGGGCGUAAAGGGCGCGUAGGUGGUUUAGUAAGUUGGCUGUGAAAUCCCUGGGCUUAACCUGGGGUGGUCAACCAAUACUGUUAAACUAGAGUACGAGAGAGGGUAGUGGAAUUUCAGGUGUAGCGGUGAAAUGCGUAGAUAUCUGAAGGAACACCAGUGGCGAAGGCGACUACCUGGCUCGAUACUGACACUGAGGCGCGAAAGCGUGGGGAGCAAACAGG
rnacentral:rRNA from 1 species